GCUUGUUUAGAAAUACAUAUGCUAAAAUUGUAACAAUACCAAGAACAUUAGUAUGGCCCCUGUACAAAGAUAACAUGCAAAUAUAUGGAGCUUUCCAUAGUUUU